UACGUGGGGAGCAAGCGUUGUUCGGAUUUACUGGGCGUAAAGGGCGCGUAGGCGGCCACCGCAAGUCGACUGUGAAAUCUCCGGGCUUAACCCGGAAAGGUCAGCCGAUACUGCGGGGCUAGAGUGCAGAAGGGGCAACUGGAAUUCUCGGUGUAGCGGUGAAAUGCGUAGAUAUCGAGAGGAACACCUGCGGCGAAGGCGGGUUGCUGGGCUGACACUGACGCUGAGGCGCGAAAGCUAGGGGAGCGAACGGG
rnacentral:rRNA from 1 species